GGAAGUCGUCUAAAACUGGUAAAAAUAUAUUAGUAACCGCCAAAACGAUGACGAAGGAUUUAAAGACUUCUGAAAUUGUCGUCAUUUCCAAUCUAAGUCGGUCGUAGAGUAGAAGUUAGUCCGGUGAUCUCAGUUUUUAUAAAGUUAUAAUUCAAGAAUCAGGUGUUACCCAUCACUAAGGGCGAAAACUCUGCUCUAGUGAGCUGUAAUUUCAAUUACAAAGCGUCCAGCGGACGCCGUUUGUACGAGCUACAAGCUAGCCAUCGCAUUCCGCCAUCUUGGCGCA